rnacentral:rRNA from 1 species
UACGUAGGGGGCAAGCGUUUUCCGGAAUCAUUGGGCGUAAAGCGCGUGUAGGCGGCCACGUUAGUCCGCUCUGAAAGCCCGGGGCUCAACCCCGGGAGGCGGGUGGAUACUGCGUGGCUCGAGUCCGGAAGAGGCGAGUGGAAUUCCUGGUGUAGCGGUGAAAUGCGCAGAUAUCAGGAGGAACACCAAUGGCGAAGGCAGCUCGCUGGGACGUGACUGACGCUGAGACGCGAAAGCGUGGGGAGCAAACAGG